rnacentral:rRNA from 1 species
UACGUAGGGUGCGAGCGUUGUUCGGAAUUACUGGGCGUAAAGGGCUCGUAGGCGGCCAACUAAGUCAGACGUGAAAUCCCUCGGCUUAACCGGGGAACUGCGUCUGAUACUGGAUGGCUUGAGUUUGGGAGAGGGAUGCGGAAUUCCCAGUGUAGAGGUGAAAUUCGUAGAUAUUGGGAAGAACACCGGUGGCGAAGGCGGCUCUCUGGACCGAUACUGACGCUGAGGCGCGAAAGCGUGGGGAGCAAACAGG